rnacentral:rRNA from 1 species
UGAGUACAAGAUGCUACGGCAUUGAAGCAGUCUAUGUCAUACUUCCAAGAAAAGCUUGCAAUGUCAUAAACAAAUAAUGCCUGUACCAUAACCGACACAGGUGGGUAGGUAGAGUAUACUAAGGGGCGCGAGAUAACUCUCUCUAAGGAACUCGGCAAAAUGACUCCGUAACUUCGGGAGAAGGAGUACCUUAUUUUAUAAGGUUGCAAUAACAAGGUCCAAGCAACUGUUUACCAAAAACACAGGUCUCCGCUAAGUCGUAAGACGAUGUAUGGGGGCUGACGCCUGCCCAGUGCCAGAAGGUUAAAGAAGUUGGUUAGCAUUAGCGAAGCUGAUAACUGAAGCCCUGGUGAACGGCGGCCGUAACAAUAACGGUCCUAAGGUAGCGAAAUUCCUUGUCGGGUAAGUUCCGACCCGCACGAAAGGCGUAAUGAUUUGGAUACUGUCUCGGAGAGGGGCUCGGUGAAAUAGACUUGUCUGUGAAGAUGCGGACUACCUGCACCUGGACAGAAAGACCCUAUGAAGCUUUACUGUAACUUGAGAUUGAAAUUGGACUUUAUUUGCGCAGUAUAGGUGGGAGACCUCGAAAGUAUUCUUGCGGGAAUAUUGGAGUCAUCAGUGAGAUACCACUCUUAUAAUGUUAGAUUUCUAACUUUGUAUCAUUAUCUGGUCAAAGAACAGUUUCAGGCGGGCAGUUUGACUGGGGCGGUCGCCUCCCAAAUGGUAACGGAGGCGCACAAAGGUUUCUUCUGAACGUGUAGAAAUCGUAUCUAGAGUGUAAAGGCAUAAGGAAGCUUGACUGUGAGACCUACAAGUCGAGCAGGGACGAAAGUCGGUCUUAGUGAUCUGACGGUGCUGAGUGGAAAGGCCGUCACUCAACGGAUAAAGUUACUCUAGGAUAACAGGCUGAUCUCCCCCAAGAGUUCACAUCGACGGGGAGGUUUGGCACCUCGAUGUCGGCUCAUCGCAUCCUGGGGCGGUAGUACGUCCCAAGGGUUGGGCUGUUCGCCCAUGAAAGCGGUACGCGAGCUGGGUUCAGAACGUCGUGAGACAGUUCGGUCCAUAUCCGGUGUAGGCGUUAGAAUAUUGAGAGGAGCCUUCUUUAGUACGAGAGGACCGAGAAGGACAUACCUCUGGUGUACCAGUUAUCGUGCCAACGGUAAACGCUGGGUAGCUAUGUAUGGAGAGGAUAACCGCUGAAAGCAUCUAAAUGGGAAGCCCACCUCAAGAUAAG